UAACCCUCAAGCUCAGCUUGGUGUUGGGGCCUGCCUACUGGCAGCCCUUAAAAUCAGUGGCAGUGCUAUUUGGCUCUAAGCGUAGUAACUUUUCUCGCUACAGAGUCCUGGUAGAUACUCGCCAAAAGCCUAAUUUUCUAUG
rnacentral:misc_RNA from 1 species